AACGAACGCUGGCGGCAUGCCUAACACAUGCAAGUCGAACGAGACCUUCGGGCCUAGUGGCGCACGGGGGCGUAAAGCGUGGGAACCUGCCCUUAGGUUCGGCAUAACUCCCUGAAAGGGGUGCUAAUACCGGAUACUGACAUCGGACCAAAGAUUUAUCGGCUUUGGAUGGGGUCGCGUGGGAUUUCCUGGUUGGUAGGGUACAAGCCUGCCGAGGCGACGAUUCAUAGCUGGUCUGAGCAGGUGACCAACUACGCUCGGGCUGAGACACGGCCCAGACUCCUACGCAGGGGAGCAGUGUGGAAUAUAGGACAAGCGACGAAAGCCUAAUCCAGCAGCGCCGGGGGAGUGAUGAAGGGCUUAGGGUUGUAAAGUUCUUUUAGCCGGGAUGAUAAUGACGGUACCGGGAGAAUAAGCACCGGCUAACUACGUG
rnacentral:rRNA from 1 species